UACGUAGGGUGCGAGCGUUGUCCGGAAUUAUUGGGCGUAAAGAGCUUGUAGGCGGUUUGUCGCGUCUGCCGUGAAAAUCCGAGGCUCAACCUCGGACUUGCGGUGGGUACGGGCAGACUAGAGUGUGGUAGGGGAGACUGGAAUUCCAGGUGUAGCGGUGAAAUGCGUAGAUAUCUGGAGGAACACCGGUGGCGAAGGCGGCAUCCUGGACCGGUAUUGACGCUGAGGCGCGAAAGCCAGGGGAGCAAACGGG
rnacentral:rRNA from 1 species